CCUCUCCUCCAGUCGUUCUGAAGGUUUGGAUCUCAAAUAGAGUUAAAAAAAAGAAAGAAAAGAAAAAAAAAAAAAAGGAAAAAAAAAAGCUUCUCCAGCUCUCUGAUCAUCCCUUGGUGCUUGGACAUUGUCCUGCCCCUUCAUCUGCCAGUUUUUCUUCAGAAGAAGUGUAUUAAAAGGCCCCAAAAUCAUGAGGCCCAGAGGCCCUGAUGCUGGCAGUUUUAUGGAGAUAGCAACAGAAAGAACAUCCCGUCAUCACAGCAGCCUGGAGGUGGAGCACUGGAAAAAAGGAGGCUGCCCAGAAAUAUCUUUGCAGGAAGGGAAGAAAGGAAGAGAUUCUCCCAAGGAAACCAACCAACCUUAGAAAAAAUGAAGCCCUCAGUAAAGGAAAAAAGAAAAAGGGAAUCAAGUUUUAUAUUGUCUUUUUAAUUAACCCAUCUAAUAUUGCCUGAGUAUGCAGGAGCAGAGAAACGAGGAAGUAGCAGAGAUUACGGUAAGGGUUUGCUGUAUCCCAUGUCCUAAGUGUAAAUAAUGUUCCUGUUAAUUUAAAACCAAGGCUGACUGUCUUUACGACUUCAUUGCACUCACAUUAGCUCUACCUUUAGGCAGUGUCAUGGGUGCAAAUAGAUUGGGUUGAGAACUUCCCUAGAGCCACUUUAAAGUGACAUCUAAUCUUUCCCUUUAGUGGUGUUAAUUCAACUUCACAAGAGCGUUUGAAGCACCAUUAGGCAGAGAAAUGGACCUUCUCUCCUGCUGGUGCCCUUAUCCAAAUCACAACAUUCCCCCCCCAAAAUCUGUUUCAUAUCAGGCCAACUGUCUGUGGCUCCAGAGAGCAGCUGAAGGAGACGUGGGCUUCCUCUUUAUGAGAGUUAAAUACAUAAAGGAUUUGUGUUUCGUGUUUCUUGCUGCCUGCUGGAAGUCUCUAAGCGUCUUGGGACCCUCCUGGCUCACACAAUGCAGUGGGAAUGGGGACAGAGAAAGACUUGGGGAUGCAACCAUGGAGACAGAGGAUUCCCCACAAACCAGAGUGCCUGCCAGGGUAUGAUGGCGUGCUGUUGGGAUGGAUUUUAACCAAGGAAAAGUGGAAAAUGAAGUGCUGGGAAGGAAGCCCCAUGAGC